rnacentral:rRNA from 1 species
GACGAACGCUGGCGGCGUGCUUAACACAUGCAAGUCGAACGGAAAGGCCCCUUUGGGGGUACUCGAGUGGCGAACGGGUGAGUAACACGUGAGUAACCUGCCCUUGACUUCGGGAUAACUUCAGGAAACUGGGGCUAAUACCGGAUAGGAAUCCUUGCUGCAUGGUGGGGGUUGGAAAGCUUCGGCGGUUUUGGAUGGACUCGCGGCUUAUCAGCUUGUUGGUGGGGUAGUGGCUUACCAAGGCUUUGACGGGUAGCCGGCCUGAGAGGGCGACCGGCCACAUUGGGACUGAGAUACGGCCCAGCCUCCUACGGGAGGCAGCAGUGGGGAAUAUUGCACAAUGGGCGGAAGCCUGAUGCAGCAACGCCGCGUGCGGGAUGACGGCCUUCGGGUUGUAAACCGCUUUCAGCAGGGGCGAAGCUUGUGGUGACGGUACCUGCAGAAGAAGCACCGGCUAACUACGU